rnacentral:rRNA from 1 species
CGGGUGAGUAAUGUCUGGGAAACUGCCUGAUGAGGGGGAUAACUACUGGAAACGGUAGCUAAUACCGCAUAACGUCGCAAGACCAAAGAGGGGGACCUUCGGGCCUCUUGCCAUCAGAUGUGCCCAGAUGGGAUUAGCUAGUAGGUGGGGUAACGGCUCACCUAGGCGACGAUCCCUAGCUGGUCUGAGAGGAUGACCAGCCACACUGGAACUGAGACACGGUCCAG